UACGGCUACAUCAUAUUGAAACACCUGUUCCCGUACGAUUAUCGAAGUUAAGCAACGUCGGACCUGAUCAGUACCGAGAUGGGUGACCGCUUGGGAAUACCAGGUGCU